rnacentral:rRNA from 1 species
AUUGAACGCUGGCGGCAGGCCUAACACAUGCAAGUCGAACGGUAGCACAGAGAGCUUGCUCUCGGGUGACGAGUGGCGGACGGGUGAGUAACGUCUGGGAAACUGCCCGAUGGAGGGGGAUAACUACUGGAAACGGUAGCUAAUACCGCAUAACGUCGCAAGACCAAAGUGGGGGACCUUCGGGCCUCACACCAUCGGAUGUGCCCAGAUGGGAUUAGCUAGUAGGUGGGGUAAUGGCUCACCUAGGCGACGAUCCCUAGCUGGUCUGAGAGGAUGACCAGCCACACUGGAACUGAGACACGGUCCAGACUCCUACGGGAGGCAGCAGUGGGGAAUAUUGCACAAUGGGCGCAAGCCUGAUGCAGCCAUGCCGCGUGUAUGAAGAAGGCCUUCGGGUUGUAAAGUACUUUCAGCGGGGAGGAAGGCGGUGAAGUUAAUAACUUCACCGAUUGACGUUACCCGCAGAAGAAGCACCGGCUAACUCCGUGCCAGCAGCCGCCGCAG